UAGAACUGUUAUUGAAGAUUAUUGACUUUGAUUGAUAUAUACGGACAACGGAACGAAAGUCAUUUUAAAUAUCUCCUGAACUCUUAUGAAGAUGAAAACGUUGCUAGUUUUUGUGGCCGUUUGCUUAGCCGUUACAUACUGUCAGAGUUGUGGGGGGACGGGUGACUGUACACACUGGUGUUCGGACGGCUACCACGCCCAAUGUGUCGGCGGCACCUGCACGUGUCCGGCUCACCAUUGUGGCGCCACCACGAAGUGUCCACAGGGAGCCGGAAGUGGAUGCCCUCCGUUCUGCUCUACCACGUGUACUACCAUGCUGUGCUCGUGCCACUGCUAGAACGCCUUGGUGCAGUGAAAUGUCUGCUGAACGAAGGAAUAAAAUGGGUUUAACAAA